rnacentral:tRNA from 1 species
GAUCUGGUAGCUCAGCCGGUAGAGCAUCUCCCUUUUAAGGAGAGGGUCCUGGGUUCGAAUCCCAGCCGGGUCA